rnacentral:lncRNA from 1 species
CUACAUGAGCUCACCAAGGCUCCUACUCAUACCAGACACCUGUUGGCAGUUAAAGCAGCGAAGACUAGGACAGAAUGGACAAAUGAUUUGUGUGGAGGCGUUUUGGACUGUUUUCCUUCACAGUCCAAGCUUCAUCAAGCUCAGCACUGUUUGAUGGCAGUACUAGGAAGCCUUUCGCUUCUUUCUAUUGAUCUCCCAUCCUAGUAAAAUAUUGGGAAAGAGUUAUACACAGAACUAAGCAUGCAGCUGGCAGGUGCCCAUCAUCCCUGACAAGGUGGAUUUACUAUUCUCUAAAGGCUGGUGGUCACACAGAGGCCUCUACCCUGCGAGGAGAUUGCUGAGGGAUUUUGCAGAGCUAAAGGAAGACUGGAACAGCAUUGCUACCAGAUGAGAUGUGGAGUCAAGACCAGUGGGAGUUGGACAGAGUCCUUUCUCCAAACAGCCAGCCCAUUUGUUCAGAAAUGUUCAGCUUCCUGGGGUGCCCACCUUAUUUUCUACUUAUAAUGAAGCUUUUGCUUAGGGACAUGCUGAUAUAACCUAUUUACUGUACAGUUUUCUAGGACUGGAGGUGGCGUUGCAGUAUCAUUCACCAUGUAGAUCUCUCUCUUUUUUUUUUAAUAAGUAGGCCAAGUCUGACCCUUAGAGUAAAGAUUAUUGCUGAAAGAAUAGCAUCAGAGAGCCCUCUUCAGAUCAGCUCUUUACACUGUUCCACAUGUGUUCUGAGCAGAUUCUUGGAACCACAGUGUCUGAGGCCAAGAACACAUUCUAUUAAGUCAACUUUGUUGGCAAUGGGAUCUACCUUUCCACAACAACAUGCAGAAGUCAAAUUCUCUCAUCACAGUGAGAGUGAGGAGUGCAGCACAGCAGGGACAUGUGCUACGGGAGCUAACAGAGCCAGACCAGAAGCCAGAGAGCUUUAAAGUGCCCUCAUCAUCCUGCCCUACGCA